AAGUCGUAACAAGGUCUCCGUAGGUGAACCUGCGGAGGGAUCAUUAACACGUUGCAAAACGUUUCCAACAAAAAUUCCUAAUUCUGUGAAUUCUGGCUAUACAAAAUGGGCGCCGAGGACUGUUGCUCUAAGCAACAGCACUAAGGUUGCACUUUUGUGCCAAACAUUUUUUUUUUUCUAAAACCACGUUCACUUCUAUCUUUCUUAAUUGAAAGACAAAUUGUCAAAACGCUAACAAAAAGAAAUAAAGCGCAUAUUAAUUUAUGUGUUUGCUUUCUUAUGUAAGCACCUAAGAUAACUAAAAGCACAACUCUUAGCAACGGAUAUCUAGGUUCUC
rnacentral:misc_RNA from 1 species